AACAUAUUAUGAGGAUAUCAGUUUAUAUCUUGGUUCCAGGAUUCAAAAAUCAAUUACAUAUACAGUUCAUGUCAAUGGUGUUGUAAGUUCAAGUAACAUUGUUUAUGCAUAUGUCUACUAUUUUUAUGUUACAUUUUUAAAUUUUCAUCCUUAUGUUAUUUGCAUCUGAUAUUGGACAGCCAUAUGGUGAAAUUGAUCCCUCCUUCGCACAACAAUACUCUCAUGAGUUAGAUGAUCAAUGGAAAUUUUUUUGCUGCAACUACAUGUAUUUAGUUACUUGGAAUCGCGAUGUCAAUCAACCUAGACUAACAAAUGGAUGGACAG
rnacentral:lncRNA from 1 species